rnacentral:rRNA from 1 species
UGGGGAAUCUUGCGCAAUGGGCGAAAGCCUGACGCAGCAACGCCGCGUGGGGAUGAAGGCCCUCGGGUUGUAAACCCCUUCAGUCAGGGAGCGAAUUGAAUCGUGACCUGCAGAAGAAGCCCCGCCAACUACGUGCCAGCAGCCGCGGUAAUACGUAGGGGCGAGCGUUGUCCGGAUUCAUUGGGCGUAAAGAGCUCGUAGGCGGUUUGGCAAGUCGGGUGUGAAAUCUCUGGGCUCAACUCAGAGAGGCCACUCGAUACUGCUAUGACUAGAGUCCGGUAGGGGACCAUGGAAUUCCUUGUGUAGCGGUGAAAUGCGCAGAUAUCAGGAGGAACACCGGUGGCGAAGGCGGUGGUCUGGGCCGGCACUGACGCUGAGGAGCGAAAGCGUGGGGAGCGAAACA